rnacentral:rRNA from 1 species
GACAGAGGUGGCGAGCGUUAUCCGGAUUUACUGGGCGUAAAGGGCGUGCAGGCGGUCAUGUAAGUCGGUCGUGAAAUGCGUCGGCUCAACCGAAGCAGGGCGGCCGAGACUGCAUGGCUAGAGGACGGGAGAGGAAAGUGGAAUUCCCGGUGUAGCAGUGAAAUGCGUAGAUAUCGGGAAGAACACCAAUGGCGAAGGCGACUUUCUGGCCCGUUUCUGACGCUGAGGCGCGAAAGCCAGGGGAGCGAACGGG